rnacentral:rRNA from 1 species
CGGACGGGUGAGUAAUGUCUGGGAAACUGCCCGAUGGAGGGGGAUAACUACUGGAAACGGUAGCUAAUACCGCAUAACGUCGCAAGACCAAAGAGGGGGACCUUCGGGCCUCUUGCCAUCGGAUGUGCCCAGAUGGGAUUAGCUAGUAGGUGGGGUAACGGCUCACCCAGGCGACGAUCCCUAGCUGGUCUGAGAGGAUGACCAGCCACACUGGGACUGAGACACGGUCCAG